rnacentral:tRNA from 1 species
GCCUGGGUGGCUCAGUCAGUUGAGUGUCUGACUUCAGCUCAGGUCAUGAUCUCGCGGUCUGUGAGUUCGAGCCCCGUGUCAGGCU